CCUACGGGAGGCAGCAGUGAGGAAUAUUGGUCAAUGGGCGCAAGCCUGAACCAGCCAAGUCGCGUGAGGGAUGACGGCCCUAUGGAUUGUAAACCUCUUUUGUCGGGGAGCAAGGCGCGCCACGUGUGGCGUGUUGGAGAGUACCCGAAGAAAAAGCAUCGGCUAACUCCGUGCCAGCAGCCGCGGUAAUACGGAGGAUGCGAGCGUUAUCCGGAUUUAUUGGGUUUAAAGGGUGCGUAGGCGGAAGGUUAAGUCAGCGGUAAAAUGUCGGGGCUCAACCCCGGCCUGCCGUUGAAACUGGUGUUCUUGAGUGGGCGAGAAGUAUGCGGAAUGCGUGGUGUAGCGGUGAAAUGUAUAGAUAUCACGCAGAACUCCGAUUGCGAAGGCAGCAUACCGGCGCGCAACUGACGCUGAGGCACGAAAGCGUGGGUAUCGAACAGGAUUAGAUACCCUAGUAGUC
rnacentral:rRNA from 1 species